rnacentral:rRNA from 1 species
UACGAAGGGGACUAGCGUUGUUCGGAAUUACUGGGCGUAAAGCGCACGUAGGCGGAUUUGUAAGUCAGGGGUGAAAUCCCGGGGCUCAACCUCGGAACUGCCUUUGAUACUGCAAAUCUCGAGUCCGAUAGAGGUGGGUGGAAUUCCUAGUGUAGAGGUGAAAUUCGUAGAUAUUAGGAAGAACACCGGUGGCGAAGGCGGCCCACUGGAUCGGUACUGACGCUGAGGAGCGAAAGCGUGGGGAGCGAGCAGG